rnacentral:misc_RNA from 1 species
AUCCAACAGAUGUUUCAUCUGUGGUAAAAAGGGACAUUGAAUGGGCUUAUUAGGCUUUCUAUGUUGAGAAAGGUCAUAAAAAUAAGAGGGAAGAAAAGGCCUUUUGUCAACCCUACUAAAGUUACACAUCCUGAAAUGACUUCAUCAGACCUUUUGUUAGCCCAACCAGAAUGUCAACAAUUGAUACAAUAAAGUCUCAUUAAACCUACCAAUUAUGAAUGGGCUUAUCAAGCUUUCUAUGUUGAGAAAAGGUCAGAAAAAUCAGAGGAAAGAAAAGGCUUGUCAUUGAUUA